CAACUUGGGUUACCAACAUGUGCCAGACGCUAGAAGAUAUAUGCCCCGAUAUUGAUAAACUUGUAGGCAAGGUUUAAUGUCGCUAAAACCGCCAUUUUACCGAGAGAUUCAGGAAUUGGACUGGAGAUCCGGUUUAACGAGAGAUCUAGAUCUAAGAGACGGAAGAUGUAGGAUAUCGUGUAUGGAAUCUGACCGUAGAUCCGGUUUCCGGACAAUAAAGCACGGCUGAGCAUCCGAAGCUUCCCGAAGUUUAUAGGCUGAGGAUAUGAAAGGAUCUCUACUAAAAGAGUACUUAAUAAAGGAACCAGAUGGCAAUAUUGGUAAUAAAGAAGAAACAGGUGCACCUGUAGACAAAUCACUAGAUGCUGAAGAUUGAAAGAUGCAUCAUUUUAAUAAUGUUGUCAUUGUGGAACCCGCCUCAUUCUGGACUUCAUCCCACUGUGAGUAAUGAUUUUCAGUCAUAUACAUCUGUUUAUAAGUUGGUUUUUGUUUAAGGUUAAUUUUAGGUGACACAAUUGACGCGUAGGACACCAGAUUAUUUCUUAUGAUGCUGAAUUGACAUUUUUCAUGAGACCAACAUGCGACUAACCACUCAUGGAGAAUAAUGCCGGAGUUAAUUUUCUGGACAAAAUCAGUAUGGUCAUUGACAGCUCUACACUAUGCGAUUACAUUUAUAUUGUGUGAUUUCAGUAGGAUAAGGUCAUGUUGUCAUAGUAGAAUUCUUUACAUUUGUUUUAACUGUUGUAAUAUGAUAAUUUAUAUGGUUAAACUAGAGGUGUAUUCGAUUGGUUUUGGGUGCUAGCUGGACCGAAAUGUUUGGUUAUCGGGUUUUUAACUAUUGCAAAUAAAUCAAGAUUUUUGCC